GUCUGCUGAUGCUGACUAACUCUUAUACUACGGAUUCUCUUACUGCAACAUAAUAACCUCUAUCUACCGACGUCAAGUCAAUCACUUCUCUCUAUGAAGCAUAAUAUCUAAUUGCCCGAACUCUCCUUUCAGAUGAAACUAGACAUGUUUCUUGGGCCGAAUCCAACUAGAAUAUUAAUUUCACUGAUUCACCCUCUCGCA
rnacentral:lncRNA from 1 species